AGCAGCCGCGGUAAUUCCAGCUCCAAUAGCGUAUAUUAAAGUCGUUGCAGUUAAAAAGCUCGUAGUUGAAUUUCGGGAUUGGCGCAUCGGUCGUGCCUCACGGGGUAUGAACUGGUGCAGUCAAUUUCUCACCUUCUGGAGAACCGCGAUGUCCUUAAUUGGGUGCCGCGGGGAACCAGGACCUUUACUUUGAAAAAUUGAGUGUUUAAAGCAGGCAUUUUUGCUUGAAUACAUUAGCAUGGAAUAAUAAAAUAGGACGGCAUGGUUCUAUUUUGUUGGUUUCUAGGACCACCGUAAUGAUUAAUAGGGAUAGUUGGGGGCAUUAGUAUUCAAUUGUCAGAGGUGAAAUUCUUGGAUUUAUUGAAGACUAACUACUGCGAAAGCAUUUGCCAAGGAUGUUUUCAUUAAUCAAGAACGAAAGUUAGGGGAUCGAAGACGAUCAGAUAACCGUCGUAGUCUUAACCAUAAACUAUAGUUCGACUAGGAAUCAGACGAUGUUAAUUUUUUAAUGUAACUCGUU
rnacentral:rRNA from 1 species